ACCAGACUUGCCCUCCAAUUGUUCCUUGUUAAGGGAUUUAAAUUGUACUCAUUCCAAUUACGAGCCUUUUUCAAGGCCCGUAUUGUUAUUUAUUGUCACUACCUCCUCGUAUCGAGAUUGGGUAAUUUGCGCGCCUGCUGCCUUCCUUGGAAGUGGUAGCCAUCUCUCAGGCUCCCUCUCCGGAAUCGAACCCUAAUUCCCCGUCACCCGUUACGACCAUUGUAGUCCACUACACUACAAUCGAAAGUUGAUAGGGCAGAAAUUUGAAUGAAUCAUCGCCGGCGCGGGGCCAUGCGAUUCGCGCAGUUAUCAUGAAUCACCAGGGGUCCAGGGUGUUGCCACCCUGCGUUGGUUUUUUAUCUAAUAAAUACGUCCCUUCCGAAGAGUCGGGAUUUUUAGCAUGUAUUAGCUCUAGAAUUACUACGGUUAUCCAAGUAGUAGGUACUAUCAAAUAAACUAUAACUGAUAUAAUGAGCCAUUCGCAGUUUCGCCGUAUAAGUGCUUAUACUUAGACAUGCAUGGCUUAAUCUUUAAGACAAGCAUAUGACUACUGGCAGGAUCAACCAG
rnacentral:rRNA from 1 species